GUCGAUUCGUUUCUUCCUUCCAGAGACUACAUUUUGUGUAUAGGAAAUGCUACAACCUUCUUUUAACGACCGGUACAACUAGCUAAAGUGACCUCUACGCCCAACACUUCGACCAGAAUUGUGAUCCCUUGUUCUCUGUCUUCGAAGAAUUCAACCAAAUCCCUAAACCAAAGAACCCCUAAUUCAUCUUCAGUUCUUCUUUUCAAACCCUCAAUCCAUAUCCAGUCAUUUAAUCUCUCAAUCUCCCUUGCUUCCUUGGAGCUUUGCCGCAGGUGGAUUUGCGAGCAAUCUGCUCGUACGAGCUGUUUCUUCAGAGAAAUUAUCAUGGCAAGUACUAUAGUUGUCCCGAAUGCAAUUAUACCUGAAUUUCUCAACCAUACUAAUUAUAAACAUUGGAGUUUGCGGGUCAAAACGUACUUAUUGUCUGAAGACCUCUGGGACGUUGUCGAACCCACCACUGAGAUUCAUAAACUACAAGAAAACGAUGGUGAACAAGAUGACGAUGGUGAAAAAAAUAAGGUUUGGACAAGGAAGAAUGCAAAAGUAUUGCAUAUAAUUCAGAACUCAUGCGGAAGUGAUAUGUUCUCUCUUAUCAGUGAAAUUAGCAGCGCACAAAGUGCCUGGGAGGCUUUGGAAAAAGGAUGCAAGGAAAAAAAAAAAGGAUAUUAUUUCUUCCUGUUUUUUGGCCGAUCCUCCAUUUUUGUUGAACCUCCAUGCAUCUUCGAUCUCAUUUAUGAAGCUAAACUAUUGAUUGUCUGCAAACCCAAUUGAAGGUGUUCCUAGGGCAAUGAUAUAGGGCCUCAAUGAGGCCUAAGAUUUGUUGCCUCAAUUCUAGGUGUCAAGCCAUGUCACCUAUACACCUCACUAAUUUGUCAAAUUAUGUCAUGUCAUUCUUGAA